UGUCAAAGAGCAGAGCAGAAAAGACCUCCUGCUGUGCUGCAUUCAAUAUCUACACCAGACAUCAGAUAGUGUCUGUAAGAUGUUCCCUCUGCGUCACGCUGGAGUCUGGCCUUUGUUUCUCUUCAUCCUGAAAGGUGUGAGCUGUGAAAAACUGCCUCCAGACCAGGCUGCAGAGUUCAGUGUAGAAGGCAGCACUGUUACUCUGUCCUACAACUUCUCCAUGACAAUAACUGGUUCUGAUCAUUUCUUCUGGUAUCGACAGUAUCCAGGACAAGCACCAGAGUUCCUCCUGUACAUCUCAGGGUUCAAUGUGACAAGAACGUCAGAUUCUCUGAAGUCAGAAACAAGGUUCUCCACUCACCUGUCUGGAAAUGAUGUCAAACUGCAGAUCUCCUCUGCUGCAGUGACAGACUCUGCUGUGUACUACUGUGCUCUGCAGCCCACAGUGACAGGAAACUACACAACUCUGUACAAAAACCUGUGGAGCAAAGACAAUACUCCUCAUCAUCCACCAGAGGGAGUCACUCACUGUUAAACCUCAGUGGUUUGUGAUGACGUUUGUUUCACAAUAAAACAAAUUCUGACAAUCA